GCAGUCACCACGCCGAGUCCAUUCGUCAGUCACCGUGCCGAGUAUCAUUCAUGGUGUGCUCUGGUUGAAAGGGCGAUAUUCAUGUCAUGGCCAAGACAUUGCUCCGAAAAUUUGAGGAGAAGUGGCUCCAACUACUUCCUAAAGUUACAGAGGAG